rnacentral:rRNA from 1 species
AUUGAACGCUGGCGGCAGGCCUAACACAUGCAAGUCGGACGGUAGCACAGGGGAGCUUGCUCCUCGGGUGACGAGUGGCGGACGGGUGAGUAAUGUCUGGGGAUCUGCCCGAUAGAGGGGGAUAACCACUGGAAACGGUGGCUAAUACCGCAUAAUGUCGCAAGACCAAAGAGGGGGACCUUCGGGCCUCUCACUAUCGGAUGAACCCAGAUGGGAUUAGCUAGUAGGCGGGGUAACGGCCCACCUAGGCGACGAUCCCUAGCUGGUCUGAGAGGAUGACCAGCCACACUGGAACUGAGACACGGUCCAGACUCCUACGGGAGGCAGCAGUGGGGAAUAUUGCACAAUGGGCGCAAGCCUGAUGCAGCCAUGCCGCGUGUAUGAAGAAGGCCUUCGGGUUGUAAAGUACUUUCAGCGGGGAGGAAGGCGAUGUGGUUAAUAACCGCGUCGAUUGACGUUACCCGCAGAAGAAGCACCGGCUAACUCCGUGCCAGCCGCCGCGGUAA